GUACGGGGGGGGGCAAGCGUUGUUCGGAAUUACUGGGCGUAAAGGGCUCGUAGGUGGCCAACUAAGUCAGACGUGAAAUCCCUCGGGCUUAACCGGGGGAACUGCGUCUGAUACUGGAUGGCUUGAGUUUGGGAGAGGGACGCGGAAUUCCAGGUGUAGCGGUGAAAUGCGUAGAUAUCUGGAGGAACACCGGUGGCGAAGGCGGCGUCCUGGACCAACACUGACACUGAGGAGCGAAAGCCAGGGGAGCAAACGGG
rnacentral:rRNA from 1 species